UGGUUUAGACCGUCUCUACAUAUACUAAGGGUAAAAAAGGAAACAUAAAUGAAGUGAAUAGGUUUUAGAAAUACGAUUUACUCAAAAUCUUUUGUUCUCUCUGCUUCAGCCAUAAAUUUUAAAUGUUUUAGAAAUACGAUCUUUUGAAUUUUCUCUCAUCUUCUUCCAUUAAUGGAGCAUCUUGGGAUCUAGUUCGAUGGUGAAGAUCAAACGAAUAUCCAAGGAAUGUUUUUUUUAAUGGAUUUUUAGGUCAAAAUUGGAUCUGAAGCUAUAAUUUUUAGAUUGCCACAUGAUUUUUUCAUCAAUUGAGGUCAUUCAUCAUUUUAUUCAUAUCUCUUAGUGGCUGCUUUAUUACUUGAUUAGUUUCCUCCUACUUUUGACACUUUCAAGUAGCAAAGCUAAAUCAGGUGAAGGAUUUUUCUCAGCUGCUAUUUGUUGUCGAUUUGUUCUCCCUUUCGCUAUUCGUUGCCGAUUCAUUCUCCCUUUCUCUAUUCGUUGUCGAUUUGUUCUCUAUAUCUUCUU